rnacentral:lncRNA from 1 species
UAAGGACAAGUAUUCAGUUGGAGUUGUGGAGUCCUGAUAUUUUUAAGGUUUGUUUUGUAUGGUUUCUUGAGUCAGUACAGGAAAAGUGUGUGAUAUCUACCAAGGCUGACAUCACUUUUGGAGUUUCCCUUCUUUGUUUGACAGAGGUCUCUGUUGGUCAUAAUUAGCUUUGUAGGUUUUCUAACUCUCACAUAGUUUGUAGAUGGGUGGUUUAUAUGUUUGCUGGGAAGAUCUUCCCAUUGCGAAUGUGGAAAGCAUUCACUUCACUGAGAUCUGCUGAGGUAGAGGAUCUUUCUUAUCAUUUUCAAGAUCUUUGAAAUACUAAUUAUUUGCUGGAAGUUUAGAGUUCUUAGGUUCUGUUGCAGUGAAUGACAGGGAUAUAGGUGGGUGAUUUCAGGGUUGAGUCCACUAAGUAACCUCAAGUUCAGAGACUCAUAUUUUUCUGUUGAUGAGAUCUACUCCUGGAUGCUGAAGUUGUUCUAUGAACUUUUCUUGUGCACCCAAUUUAUGACUCAAGCCCCUCCUUCCCCCCACCCCCAAUCUACAUAUUGAAGCUGGUCAGUGUCUGGACUUACCACCCAUCACAACCUAGGGCUAACUGUAACACUGGAGAUUAGGCAAGUUAAACUCAGGCUCUAUGACUUGUGGUUAAUCCAUUCCCAAUUACAGUUUUAAAUAAUAGGUAUUGUCUCAGGAUGUCAGCCAGAGUUGCUGUCUGAGUUGUACAGAAUAGAAAAUUGAAGUUCCCUUUCUAUGGUUAACCUGUCUACCUGUGGAACUAUUGUAUUGCUGAAAUCCUCAAUAUUUGCAUUUGGGAGAACCACAGCUUGUCCUAAGGGUAGUAGGAUUGCCAUUGUGUUUUUACCUGGAUAACUUGGCUUUAUUUUUUGAAUGAGACUUCUCUUUUGUCCCUUCACACAGACAGUAACAAUCUCUAUGG